UUCAGCGACAUUAUCAUUGUGAAAUACGACAUACACGUUUUAAAGGUCUUGAAAAGAAAAUAAUUAAUGAACACAUACAUGUUAUUUGAAAACUCAGAGCAAUGAUCCAAGAGUACUUGUCCAGGUAAACUGAGUACGAAUAAAUGGAAUUGAUUAGCCCCGCAAAAUACAGCGCUUCUAAUUGCUUCCUCUGGUCUAUCCAAAUUUACAACUGCCUGUAAAAUAUUGUACGUAUGUUGAUAAGCUUUUCUAAUUCUUUGAUUUUGUUGAUUAAAUUGCUUUUUACUUGGACAGCUGUCGCGCUUAUGGCCAACAUAUUUAACCCAACUGGAAUAAGAUAACGAUUUCGAUUGCUUUCAUUCAGAAUAUUAUAAAACCUCAAAAUUUAACGCAUGAAUGAAUUAGUUAUUAUAAUUAUUUGAAAUAUGUAUUUUAUUGUUAUUUGAUAAAUACAAACUGGAUAGCUUCAUCUUCGAUUAUAUUUACCCGCAAACAGUAAAUAAUCCGCUGCAAUGGUGAAUUAUAAGAAUCAACAAUGAAUCUACGGCAACUAUGGUUACUACAACCAUGAUUGAUCCCCAAGCAAGUUGCAAAUAUACAUAGAAAAAAUAAUUAUCAUCGUUAAAAAAUAAAUAAUUAACUUUGAGCAGUUGUUGUCGUGGUCGAGUUUCAUUUAAUGGAAGAACGAUGUCUAAUAUGGGAGAAAGUAAUGGAA